rnacentral:lncRNA from 1 species
GGGACUAAUUAUGUUUCUAAACUUAUCAGAACCAACAUCUGUGUUGUCUAGGAUGACCAGGUCAUAUCAGGUGAUGACCUUGUACUGAAUCUAGGAUAAUGACAUAAAAAUCACUUGUUUAAAUAUCAGACCUCAAUUUCCUUUCCAAAAAUCACUUCUUUAAGUAUCAUUCUUUUAAUAACCCCACUAAUUUCAACACCCC